UCCGAGUUGACCCCGGCAGUCUGGCGUGAGUCCCCAACUAAAUGCUGGCAACACGCCACGGGGGUUGCGCUCGUUGCGGGACUUAACCCAACAUCUCACGACACGAGCUGACGACAGCCAUGCAGCACCUGUGGCGCACCCUCGAAGGUCACACGUUUCCGUGCGCUUGCAGCGCCAUGUCAAGCCCAGGUAAGGUUCUUCGCGUUGCAUCGAAUUAAAGAACAUGCUCCGCUGCUUGUGCGGGCCCCCGUCAAUUCUUUUGAGUUUUAGCCUUGCGGCCGUACUCCCCAGGCGGAACACUUAACGCGUUGGCUGCGGCACAGAGGGAUUCGACUCCCCCCACACCUAGUGUUCAUCGUUUACGGCUAGGACUAC
rnacentral:misc_RNA from 1 species